rnacentral:rRNA from 1 species
UACGAAGGGGGCUAGCGUUGCUCGGAAUCACUGGGCGUAAAGCGCACGUAGGCGGAUUGUUAAGUCAGGGGUGAAAUCCUGGAGCUCAACUCCAGAACUGCCUUUGAUACUGGCGAUCUUGAGUCCGGGAGAGGUGAGUGGAACUGCGAGUGUAGAGGUGAAAUUCGUAGAUAUUCGCAAGAACACCAGUGGCGAAGGCGGCUCACUGGCCCGGUACUGACGCUGAUCUGCGAAAGCUAGGGGAGCAAACGGG